CCCUUAGAUGUCCUGGGCUGCACGCGCGCUACACUGACGAACUCAACGAGCUUAUCACCUUGGCAGAGAUGUCUGGGUAAUCUUUUGAAAGUUCGUCGUGCUGGGGAUAGAUGAUUGUAAUUGUUCGUCUUGAACGAGGAAUUCCUAGUAAGUGUGAGUCAUCAGCUCGCGCUGAUUACGUCCCUGCCCUUUGUACACACCGCCCGUCGCUCCUACCGAUUGAAUGGUCCGGUGAGGUUCUCGGAUUUUUUCUGUUGUUUGGUUCGCUAAACGAUUGAAGAGAGAAGUUACCCAAACCUUACCAUUUAGAGGAAGGAGAAGUCGUAACA
rnacentral:rRNA from 1 species